UAAGGCGUCAAAAAAUGACAAAAAAUGUCAUAGUAUAGUAAGGUAUCAAAAAAUGUCAUAGUAUAGUAAGGCGUCAAAAAAUGUCAUAGUAUAGUAAGGCGUCAAAAAAUGGCAAAAAAUGUCAUAGUAUAGUAAGGCGUCAAAAAAUGUCAUAGUAUAGUAAGGCGUCAAAAAAUGUCAUAGUAUAGUAAGGCGUCAAAAAAUGUCAUAGUAUAGUAAGGCGUCAAAAAAUGACAAAAAAUGUCAUAGUAUAGUAAGGCGUCAAAAAAUGUCAUAGUAUAGUAAGGCGUCAAAAAAUGACAAAAAAUGUCACAGUAUAGUAAGGCGUCAAAAAAUGGCAAAAAAUGUCAUAGUAUAGUAAGGCGUCAAAAAAUGUCACAGUAUAGUAAGGCGUCAAAAAAUGUCAAAAAAUGUCAUAGUAUAGUAAGGCGUCAAAAAAAUGUCAUAGUAUAGUAAGGCGUCAAAAAAUGUCA